rnacentral:rRNA from 1 species
GAUGAACGCUAGCUACAGGCUUAACACAUGCAAGUCGAGGGGAAACGACAUCGAAAGCUUGCUUUUGAUGGGCGUCAACCGGCGCACGGGUGAGUAACGCGUAUCCAACCUGCCCACCACUUGGGGAUAACCUUGCGAAAGUAAGACUAAUACCCAACGAUAUCUCUAGAAGACAUCUGAAAGAGAUUAAAGAUUUAUCGGUGAUGGAUGGGGAUGCGUCUGAUUAGCUUGUUGGCGGGGUAACGGCCCACCAAGGCUACGAUCAGUAGGGGUUCUGAGAGGAAGGUCCCCCACAUUGGAACUGAGACACGGUCCAAACUCCUACGGGAGGCAGCAGUGAGGAAUAUUGGUCAAUGGACGGGAGUCUGAACCAGCCAAGUAGCGUGCAGGAUGACGGCCCUAUGGGUUGUAAACUGCUUUUAUAAGGGAAUAAGGUGAGUCUCGUGAGACUUUUUGCAUGUACCUUAUGAAUAAGGACCGGCUAAUUCCGUGCCAGCCGCCGCCGUAA